rnacentral:tRNA from 1 species
AGCAAGGUAGUUUAGAGAGAAUAUUAGGUUGUGGUCCUACUGGUGGAUAAGUAUCUCCUUGUUU